rnacentral:rRNA from 1 species
UACGGAGGGGGCUAGCGUUAUUCGGAAUUACUGGGCGUAAAGCGCACGUAGGCGGGUCAGAAAGUCAGAGGUGAAAUCCCAGGGCUCAACCUUGGAACUGCCUUUGAAACUUCUGGUCUUGAGAUCGAGAGAGGUGAGUGGAAUUCCGAGUGUAGAGGUGAAAUUCGUAGAUAUUCGGAGGAACACCAGUGGCGAAGGCGGCUCACAGGCUCGAUACUGACGCUGAGGUGCGAAAGCGUGGGGAGCAAACAGG